rnacentral:misc_RNA from 1 species
GAUGAAGAACGUAGCGAAAUGCGAUACUUGGUGUGAAUUGCAGAAUCCCGUGAACCAUCGAGUCUUUGAACGCAAGUUGCGCCCGAAGCCAUCAGGUUGAGGGCACGUCUGCCUGGGCGUCACAUAUCGUUGCCCAAUGCCUAUUGCAGUGCAAUAGGAAUUUCUAGGGCGAAUGAUGGCUUCCCGUGAGCGUUGUUGCCUCGCGGUUGGUUGAAAAUCGAGUCCUUGGUAGGGUGUGCCAUGGUAGAUGGUGGUCGAGUUAGAACGAUACCGAUCAUGUGCAUGCUCCCCAAAAUAUGGCCUCUAUGACCCACACGCGUCUUUUGACGCUCAUGACGAGACCUUAGGUCAGGCGGGGCUACCCGCUGAAUUUAAGCAUAUCAAUAAGCGGAGGA